rnacentral:rRNA from 1 species
GACGAACGCUGGCGGCGUGCUUAACACAUGCAAGUCGAACGAUGAACUUGGAGCUUGCUCUGGGGGAUUAGUGGCGAACGGGUGAGUAACACGUGAGUAACCUGCCCUGGACUCUGGGAUAACUUCAAGAAAUCGGAGCUAAUACCGGAUAGGACCUUGCACCGCAUGGUGUGGGGUGGAAAGUUUUUCGGUUUGGGAUGGACUCGCGGCCUAUCAGCUUGUUGGUGAGGUAAUGGCUCACCAAGGCGUCGACGGGUAGCCGGCCUGAGAGGGUGACCGGCCACACUGGGACUGAGACACGGCCCAGACUCCUACGGGAGGCAGCAGUGGGGAAUAUUGCACAAUGGGCGCAAGCCUGAUGCAGCAACGCCGCGUGCGGGAUGACGGCCUUCGGGUUGUAAACCGCUUUUAGUAGGGAAGAAGCCUUCGGGUGACGGUACCUGCAGAAAAAGGACCGGCUAACUAUGUGCCAGCAGCCGCAGUAAUAC